AAAGCGUAUAUUAAAGUUGUUGCAGUUAAAACGUCCGUAGUCGAAUUUACACCAGGUAUUGGCCCCGCCGGUUCUUCAUUGAGCUGGAUUGGUUGGUCAGUCCGGUGAUAAAGUCUGGCUGAUAGGAUGGUCGGCUUCGGUUGGCUGUCUUUCCUCGCCAGGCGUAUUACCAUGAGCAAAUCAGAAUGCUCAAAGUAGGCCUACGCGCCUGAAUGUGUUAGCAUGGAAUAAUAAAAUAGGACUCGAGUCUUGUUUUGUUGGUUUACUUGACAUUGAGAAAUGAUGAAUAGGAACGGUUGGGGGCAUUUGUAUUUGGCCGCUAGAGGUGAAAUUCUUGGAUUGGC
rnacentral:rRNA from 1 species